UACAAUACACUAAAUACUUUUGGUGUUCAAUGCUAUACCCUCUAAAAACAAAAUCUUCAUUUAUUUGAAGACACAAUUCUCUGUACGGGCACUUGCCAUGACUUUAUUUUUGAAUAUUUCUGUGUUCAUGUGGUAGGGAAAACAUUGUUGUAUACUACAAAUUCCCUGUUUUGCUUUUAGGUUGGAGACUACAUAAGACUUUGACAGUUGGCGGGAAACCAUCAUCAACUGGAGAGAUGCCGGAAGAGGAAUGUCUGCGACUAAGUCAAGGGCCACUGGAUAAGGGUUGUUGAUGGCAAAACAGGUUGGAGACUACAUAAGACUUUGACAGUUGGCGGGAAACCAUCAUCAACUGGAGAGAUGCCGGUAAAAAGAUGGCCAUAAAACAGUGACCGCUGAUUCGCAUUGAGUUCUUUCUUACAUAUUGGAUGACCUAUGUUUUUUAUUGUUUAAAUCAUUGCGGCUUGGAAUGCUCUUUAAGAAAAGGUAUGGUUAUGGGGGUGUC